GACGAACGCUGGCGGCGUGCUUAACACAUGCAAGUCGAACGGAAAGGCCCUGCUCUUGUGGGCUGCUCGAGGGGCGAACGGGUGAGAAACACGUGAGUAACCUGACCUGGACUGUGGGGUAACUUCAGGAAACUGGGGAUAAUACAGGAGAGGAGCUGCUGAAGCAUGGGGGGGGUCGGAAAGUUUCUGCGGGUGGGGGUGGACUCGCGGCUUAUCAGCUUGUUGGGGGGGGGGUGGCCUACCCAGGCUUUGACGGGUAGCCGGCCUGGGAGGGUGGCCACCCCCCUUGGGACUGCGGUACGGCCCAGACUCCUACGUUAGGCAGCGGUCGAGAGUAUUGCACAGUGGGGGGACGCCUGAUGCGACGGCGCCGCGUGCGGGAUGACGGCCUUCCGGUUGUAAACCGCUUUGUCCUGUGACGAAGCUUGGGUGACGGUACUGGGUAAAGAAGCACCGGCUAACUACGUG
rnacentral:rRNA from 1 species